rfam:Citrus clementina cultivar Clemenules unplaced genomic scaffold scaffold_1, whole genome shotgun sequence.
GUGACAGAAGAGAGUGAGCACACAUGGUAUUUUCUUGCAUGCUUUGAGAUCCUGCUUGAAGCUAUGCGUGCUCACUCUCUAUCUGUCAC